ncrna:unclassified sequences L13-Bacteroidia ribosomal protein leader
CAGGCGUAAAGGCUUGUCAAAUAGCGUGUUAAUAGCUUUGCUUUUGGCCGGGCGAGUGGUUAGUGAAUC